GCUUUACAACGAGACACAUGAAAGUCACUUCCAAGAGACUGACCACGUCACUUGGAAAAAGAUCGUCGAUUGCUCAGGUCAUCCUACAGUUGGCAGUGUUACACAUACACAUUGAAGGGCGGUGGGGUAGUCUAAUGGUUAAAGCGUUGACUCGUCACGCCGAAGACCCGGGUUCGAAUCCCCACAUGGGUACAAUGAGUGAAGCCCAUUUCUGGUGUCCCCCGCCGUGUUAUUGCUGGAAUAUUGCUAAAAGCGGCGUAAAACCAAACUCAGUCAGUCAGGCAUACACAUUGAGUCUCACAUUCCCAUUUGCUGCAGUUCUGUUAAAUGAAUGGAAGGAACGUAGUGUGGCGUUCCGGUAGAAAAGAAGUGUGUUAGGUUUGUCUGUUGCCUAACGCUGCGCGGGAGUUGCAUGGUGGCAGUAUACACAAUCUAAUCUAAUGAUAUCCAGUGACGAACAUCAUCAGCAUCGAUACACGUAAUUGGGAUACGAUGACCAAGUCACCAAGCCCGAUACAGUUAGUCGCCUCAAACGACUCAAGUUAGACCUCUAGUUGGGACCUGUAUUCUUACCCGCAGUCUCUGGGGGUGAUGUCUGAAAGGGAAGCACGUCAUGUUAAUGAGAAGGACACGGGCUGUUCGUUCUAUGCGUUGUUGGUGCUCAGCCGCAGUGCAAGUGUUAGUGCAAGAAACAUAUAUGUUAAAAGCAGGUGUAACACGCUGAAGGGUAUGUAGUGGAACAUCUGCGAAUAAGAAGUUGUUCCUAAGAUCCAUAUAUAUUUGUUUGUUGUUGUUUU